rnacentral:snoRNA from 1 species
UGUUCAUGAUGAAUGAUUUUUCCAUUUCUGACACUUCCAAUGAGCAGGCCACCCUGUGGCCUCUGAUUUCACUCCAUGUUCUGAAGCAC